CACGAAUGGCGUAAUGAUGGCCACGCUGUCUCCACCCGAGACUCAGUGAAAUUGAAAUCGCUGUGAAGAUGCAGUGUACCCGCGGCUAGACGGAAAGACCCCGUGAACCUUUACUACAGCUUGGCACUGAACAUUGAACCUACAUGUGUAGGAUAGGUGGGAGGCUUUGAAGACGUGACGCCAGUUGCGUUGGAGCCGUCCUUGAAAUACCACCCUUGUAUGUUUGAUGUUCUAACGUUGGCCCUAUCGGGUUGCGGACAGUGCCUGGUGGGUAGUUUGACUGGGGCGGUCUCCUCCCAAAGAGUAACGGAGGAGCACGAAGGUGGGCUAAUCACGGUUGGACAUCGUGAGGUUAGUGCAAUGGCAUAAGCCCGCUUAA
rnacentral:rRNA from 1 species